GAUGAACGCUAGCGGCAGGCUUAAUACAUGCAAGUCGAGGGGCAGCAUGACUGUAGCGAUACAGUUGAUGCCGACCGGCAAACGGGUGCGGAACACGUACAGAACCUUCCUUUAAGUGGUGAAUAGCCCAGAGAAAUUUGGAUUAAUACACCGUAACAUAUAGAGUUGGCAUCAAUUUUAUAUUAUGACUCCGGCGCUUAAAGAUGGCUGUGCGGCUGAUUAGGUAGUUGGCGGGGUAACGGCCCACCAAGCCUACGAUCAGUAACUGGUGUGAGAGCACGACCAGUCACACGGGCACUGAGACACGGGCCCGACUCCUACGGGAGGCAGCAGUAAGGAAUAUUGGUCAAUGGACGCAAGUCUGAACCAGCCAUGCCGCGUGGAGGAUGAAGGUCCUCUGGAUUGUAAACUUCUUUUCUCUGGGGCGAAAACCUCCCAUUCUUGGGAGCUUGACAGUACCAGAGGAAUAAGCACCGGCUAACUCCGUGCCAGCCGCCGCGGUAACAC
rnacentral:rRNA from 1 species